ACCUUUCAGCCCUUUUGUCCAGGGUGAUAUAUUUCAGGGUGAGCUCAGCAAGACCCCUUCCUCUAAAGAAAAGGGACACAAAGGUGUUUACUGAGUGUCUUGGAAGAUAAAUGUGAGUUGAGCUGCUGCUGGCCAGGACCUGGAGGUAUCUGUCAGGGUCAGGAACAGGGUGACACUUUGAAACACAUCCCAAAGGAGGGUAUUGAAGGCUGCAUUCUAUAGUGAUAUUGGACAUACUCCUUGUAGGCAGAGUGCUAUUAACACUAUUCCUCUAAUCAUCAUGAGGAUGAACUAGCAGUAGCCACACUGCUGGCUGACACAAAUUCAGCUCUGUGACAAUACAGGCUUUUGUUUUUCAUAUUUAUAUCUUGGUGCGCUGGUUGGCCUGGGAAUGAAGAGCUCUCGCUGCAGAAGGUGUGUGAAUUCCAGCACUAACUAUGGGAUUUGCAGUGGGAGUGUGGGUCUAGUACUAGGCAGGCAUAUAACUUGCAGGCUGGUUGUCCUGAGGCACCAUCUGUAGGGCUGGGCUGAGUUUCCAGAGGAACCGACACAGAAAAGAGCUCAUCGAGGCUCAGCUUGCACUUUCUCAAGCUCAGACGCACAAUGGAAGUGGGAUGGCAAGGAGCAGAUUCAUUCCUACUAAAUCUUCUGGCCGUUAGUUCCCCCCGCCUUUGUUUGCCUCUCCCAUUUUACUGUAGUUUCUCACCAGCUGAACAAGGCAAUGAGGUCACUGUUUGGAGACCAGGGUGCAGAAGUCAGCCUGGGUAUGAAGACAGAAACUAAUCAGGAAAGUUUGUCAGGGGAGAGGAAUGGAGGGAUUGUACCCCAGUACAGGAUUAGUUGUGAGUGUGCUGGAUGAGUUUAAUAACACCUUAAACUUCCCUUUCUUCAGUACUGUUGCACAAAGCAAUUGGGUCAAAACUUGAUAGUGUUCUGCUGCCUGCUGUUGGUUCGUUGGUUGGUUUUAUGUGGUGUGUGUUUGUUUGCUUGUUUUUUGAGGAAAGAAGAAAAUUAGAAGAAGAAAAGUGUUUUGCAGAAAUAACAAAAGUCACAGUUCAGAUAUUUGCUCCUUCCUUCCUUCCUUCCUUCCUUCUUUCCUUCCUUUUCCUUCCUUCCUUUUCCUUCCUUCCUUCCUUCCUUCCUUUUCCUUCCUUCCUUCCUUCCUUCAUUCCUUUUCCUUCCUUCCUUUUCCUUCCUUCCUUUUCCUUCCUUUUCCUCCCUUUCUUCCCUACCUAAGAAGCCAGAAAGCUUUACAAACCAUUUUACAUCCAGUCCAUGAAAAGAGGGCAUGGGGCUUCAGCAUGGAGCACUGAUGCUGGAAGCAGGAGAGGUAAGGUUACCCAAGUAUGUUAGUUCCACCUGAUACCUGCAACCCAAGGGUGGUGCUGGUUCCAGGGCAAUGCUCUGGUGAUCCUGCCUGGCAGUCCCAUCACCCCUGUACCUAGGCCAGCUCUCUGGGGCAUGCCAGCAAAUGGAGAGGCUCCCCUGGUUUAUGGCCUUGAGUGACACAUUUCAUGGGGAAUGGGAUUACUUUGGUACCAGCCUUUUAAACCACAAAGCACAGGUGACUGCCUGUGCCUGUGCAGCGCAUCACGGGAUGCGCUGUUUGUGUGGGCUUUCAGAUGGGGUGCCUGUGUACAAAAGGAGUGCGGGAUGUGUGUGCACAGCCAGCCCCUCCGUGUGCUGGAUGUGAUAGGGUAUGGAGCUUUGCGUUUGUGAAUGUUUCAGAGGGGUGGGAAAGAGAAGGAGGAUGGGAAGUGAGCACGUGUCCAUCCCACAUGCAAGAUGUCUCAGAGGAUGUUGUUCUGCACUUUCUGGUCACAUUCAACCAUCCAGAAGCAGUUGAGUCAGUCUGCUAGGGUAUUCAUGCUCCUGGCAAGACAGCUGCAGGCAGAUGCAUCUCAAGUUGAAUGCACUGGUUCUGGGAGUCAGCUUGUCCCUGAGCGCAAGGUAAGCACCAAAGCAACAACACUUUUUUUUUUAUAAGAAAUGUAGUGGUGGUUUGAUCUGGCAUCCCUUAAAUGUGGUGUACCCCAUACUGCAAGAAGAAUGCCAGAAAUGUGUUUGCAACUUCCCUGAAUUCCAGCCCACUUGCACACAGACUGAGCUCUGCAGGGAUGGGCAGGCUCUGAGCUCUCAAGUGACAGGUCCCUGCCUUGGGUCCAGCAAAACCUCAGGCUAGCAGGAGGGGAGGAGUCAUCAUUGUCCACACCAAGCAAGAAACAUUGGGGUCUGCAGAAGAUUUGCAAAUUUUCUUGAAAAUCCAGCAAAGUCUGGAUAAAUUGCAGGUGUUAAUGACUCAGGUGCUGUGAAGUUGCAGCUGCUGUGUCCCAGAUCCUUGCUGGGUCUGCAGUAGAACUGAAUAGUUGCUCUGAUACAUCCUGGCAAUGACUGUGGAGUGAAAAGGCUUUGGCAGACGAGUCCCCGAUUGCCCCAGUUUUCUCAGACUCAAAUAGGUUAUUGUCCUUCUUUCCUCUCUGGUGCCAACAAGUUUCCUCUGUAAAAACCCUUCCCGCUCUGAAUCUGGCACACCAAUUCUAGAGCUUGCGAGACCACCAGAAAAGUGGUCUCCUGUUGAAUCACAGAUAUUUACAAGCUGUUGCUUACAAAGGCAAGGAGCAAUACCCUGUGUGAAGUAGCCUGGGGGAACAGCCCCUGGCCUGUGGUGAUGCAAUGGGCUGAUGGUUGCUGCAGGCUCUAGAAGCAAGAACUAUACUCAUGUCACUCCACUAGCACCAUGUGUAGGAGCCUGGAGCCUCCUGUGGCUGGCAGUCCCUUAGAGAAUGGAAACUCCACUGAUCUCGGCACUGAGCAAUCCCACUGCCUCAGAAGCGAGGGAGUGGGGUUACUCUCUCAGCCUGGUCAUCAUGGCAGCCACCAGAAUAGUUGCUUGCCAGGAAUAGAAGAGCAGCAACCAGCUGCUUAAGGCAGCAGCCACUGUGUAGCUGUUUUAACCCCUCUUAGUUUUUGCUGCAUCCUUCUGCAGACCCGCACUCACUGACCUUCCACGCUUACUUGACCAGGCAGUGCUGUGCCCACGAAAGGGUAGAAGACAGGCUGCGAUGCACUGAAGGAGCCACCAUAUCAGCCCAGUCAUUGACUGCCAAACCUUCCGCCUCAGAAAGGUGGCUGCAUGUCUCUCCCAAAGGAAAAAGUUUAACCGCUUGUAGUGGAAAAGCAUGGCCUGAAGGUAAACCGGUACUUAGACAGUUUUAUGGCCACCUUGUUUCCUCCAUUCACUCAUUCAUAUCUCUUUAACUGCAGUAUUAUCAACAUAUUACAUAUAUGCAAGAUUUACUGCAGACUUGUAAAGCCUUGAGCCUGCGUAGAAAUCCGUUUAUGCUUUUUUCUUUUCAUUCUCAUUUGUGAGUGACAUACCUGUGAGUGGUGACGGGGGAAUCACGUACAGUAUGCAUGACUGCACGUCAUAUUUACUGUUAAUGCCGCAGCUGCUGCCUCUGUCUCCUGUAGCCUUCAGUGAGUAUUAUAGCAGGGAGGACAGGUAAGAGGGACAAUAUUGCUAUAGCUUCUGACCUUUGUAUUUCAUGUGAUUUUCCGGUUCUCACCAGGGUGCUCUGGAGCUGGGGAGCAUGUCUGUAUUGGUAUCUGGCUAGUUUACACUAGUGGCUGCAAGAGGGCACAUCGUUCCAGUGAACUGUGGGACUCAGAUGUGGGAUUUGAUCCCCAUGUCCCAGCCCAAUAAAUACACCUGUCAUCACAUCAUUCCCUAGUCUACUUGUUUCUACAGCAUCUAACAUGUUUAUGUCUAUUCAUAUGUUGGCAUUUAAAAAAAAUAUUAUUAAGGCAAAUGCAAAGCAAUGCAAUUCCUAAUGCUUUUUUUUCUUUUUUUAAUAGAGACCAAAAUAAGCUACAGCAGGCUUUUGUCACUACUCAUGCAGCCAGCCCACAGAACUGAGCAGCAGGUUCUACAUGCUGGAGAACCAAGGGUGACCAUGACAACUGCAGGAACUUGGUAGAUCCCAGAGACAGAGAACACGGAAGAUCUGCAGGAACCUGCUGACAGGAAGACCCUUCUGAUGCCUGCCCAGCUAGUGAUUGGUCUGCUUUCUAGGUAACUGACAGGCCUGUUUUUGACUGAUGAAGGACUGAAGUAGGAAGAGCAAGAAGAAAUCAGCAGGCUUCACUACCCCAUGACCUGGUUACUAAUUUUGAAGCUGCAGAACAAAAGGUCAGCUGAUGCAGCACCCACAGUUCUUCAAUAAAAAUCAACUCCCUGUACAUCCUCCCACUCACAGAGUUAGACCAGGCCCUGGGCUCACCGUGCCAUCAUCCCCAGCAGCAUCACAGC